rnacentral:rRNA from 1 species
AACGAACGCUGGCGGCAUGCCUAACACAUGCAAGUCGAACGAGACCUUCGGGUCUAGUGGCGCACGGGUGCGUAACGCGUGGGAACCUGCCCUUAGGUUCGGAAUAACUCCCCGAAAGGGGUGCUAAUACCGGAUAAUGUCUUCGGACCAAAGAUUUAUCGCCUUUGGAUGGGCCCGCGUUGGAUUAGCUAGUUGGUAGGGUAAAAGCCUACCAAGGCGACGAUCCAUAGCUGGUCUGAGAGGAUGAUCAGCCACACUGGGACUGAGACACGGCCCAGACUCCUACGGGAGGCAGCAGUGGGGAAUAUUGGACGAUGGGCGAAAGCCUGAUCCAGCAAUGCCGCGGGAGUGAUGAAGGCCUUAGGGUUGUAAAGCUCUUUUACCCGGGAUGAUAAUGACAGUACCGGGAGAAUAAGCGCCGGCUAACUCCGUG